rnacentral:rRNA from 1 species
UACGUAGGGUGCAAGCGUUAAUCGGAAUUACUGGGCGUAAAGCGUGCGCAGGCGGUUUUGUAAGUUUGUCGUGAAAUCCCCGGGCUCAACCUGGGAAUGGCGAUGAUGACUGCAAGGCUAGAGUUUGGCAGAGGGGGGUAGAAUUCCACGUGUAGCAGUGAAAUGCGUAGAUAUGUGGAGGAACACCGAUGGCGAAGGCAGCCCCCCUGGGUCAAAAACUGACGCUCAUGCACGAAAGCGUGGGGAGCAAACAGG